rnacentral:rRNA from 1 species
UUCCUACGGGGGGCAGCGGUGGGGAAUAUUGCACAAUGGGCGCAAGCCUGAUGCAGCCAUGCCGCGUGUAUGAAGAAGUAUUUCGGUAUGUAAAGCUCUAUCAGCAGGGAAGAAAAUGACGGUACCUGACUAAGAAGCCCCGGCUAACUACGUGCCAGCAGCCGCGGUAAUACGUAGGGGGCAAUCGUUAUCCGGAUUUACUGGGUGUAAAGGGAGCGUAGACGGCAGAGCAAGUCUGAAGUGAAAGCCCGCGGCCCAACUGCGGGACUGCUUUGGAAACUGCCCGUCUAGAGUGC